GUGCUCACUUCGGCAGCACAUAUACUAAAAUUUGAACGAUACAGAGAAGAUUAGCAUGGCCCAUGCGCAAGGAUGACCAACGGCAAAGGAAGACGUUUCUCUCUGUC